GGGGUCUGCUUUGCUGGUCCUUGACGUGAUAAGAUGUUUCUACGUUUUGGAUUUGGCAUCGUCCCUUGGAUGCCCCCGCUCCUAAUCGUCUCAUGGACAAUGAUGGUGCUUCCGGUCACCGCCGAUCCACAUCGGCGGGAGGCUGGACCCACAAAAAAAACCUUGACCUCAAAUCGGGUGAGACUACCCGCUGAACUUAA
rnacentral:misc_RNA from 1 species